CCCUUAGAUGUUCUGGGCCGCACGCGUGCUACACUGAGUGGAUCAGCGGGUCAGGUUGCGCGAAAGUGUUUCCUAAUCUUGAAAUCCGCUCGUGAUGGGGAUUGACGGAUGCAAUUUUCCGUCAUGAACGAGGAAUACCUUGUAAGCGCGGGUCAUCAUCCCGCGCUGAAUACGUCCCUGCCCUUUGUACACACCGCCCGUCGCUCCUACCGAUUGAGUGGUCCGGUGAGGCUUUGGGAUCUGAGCGGAAAGAGCGUUUCGCUGUUUCUGCUCGGAAAACUCAGUCGAACCUUAUCAUUUAGAGGAAGGAGAAGUCGUAACA
rnacentral:rRNA from 1 species